UAAGUGAAUCCACACUUGGUCGCCUUCUUCAAAGACCAUGUGUCGCCGGCCCUUGUUCGCUUGUUCCACAUACUUCUUUGUUUUCUCCUCAAUAUUUUUCCUA
rnacentral:sRNA from 1 species